rnacentral:rRNA from 1 species
UACGUAGGGACCAAGCGUUGUUCGGAUUUACUGGGCGUAAAGGGCGCGUAGGCGGCUUGACAAGUCACUUAUGAAAUCUCCGGGCUUAACUCGGAACGGCCAAGUGAAACUGUCAUGCUAGAGUGCAGAAGGGGCAAUCGGAAUUCUUGGUGUAGCGGUGAAAUGCGUAGAUAUCAGGAGGAACACCGGUGGCGAAGGCGGGUCUCUGGGCCGAAAUUGACGCUGAGGAGCGAAAGCGUGGGGAGCAAACAGG